AUUGAACGCUAGCGGGAUGCCUUACACAUGCAAGUCGAACGGCAGCACGGACUUCGGUCUGGUGGCGAGUGGCGAACGGGGGAGUAAUGUAUCGGAACGUGCCCAGUAGCGGGGGAUAACUACGCGAAAGCGGAGCUAAUACCGCAUACGCCCUACGGGGGGAAGCAGGGGAUCGCAAGACCUUGCACUAUUGGAGCGGCCGAUAUCGGAUUAGCUAGUUGGUGGGGUAACGGCUCACCAAGGCGACGAUCCGUAGCUGGUUUGAGAGGACGACCAGCCACACUGGGACUGAGACACGGCCCAGACUCCUACGGGAGGCAGCAGUGGGGAAUUUUGGACAAUGGGGGAAACCCUGAUCCAGCCAUCCCGCGUGUGCGAUGAAGGCCUUCGGGUUGUAAAGCACUUUUGGCAGGAAAGAAACGUCGCGGGUUAAUACCUCGCGAAACUGACGGUACCUGCAGAAUAAGCACCGGCUAACUACGUG
rnacentral:rRNA from 1 species